AUGUUGGGAAUUCCCGGGAAAUUCCCAAUCCCUGACAAUUCCCACUUUGCCCAAAUUUUUCCCCAUUUUAUUUGGAUUUUUAUCCCAAUUUUUUCCCAUUUUUUCCUAUUUUUAUCCCAAUUUUUUCCCAUUUUUCCCCCAAUUUUUAUCCCAAUUUUCCCCAAUUUUAUUCCAAUUUUUCCCCAAUUUUUCCCCAUUUUUAUCCCCAUUUUUUCCCAUUUUUUCCCCAUUUUUAUCCCAAUUUUUUCCCAUUUUUUCCCAUUUUUAUCCCAAUUUUUUUCCAUUUUUUCCCCAUUUUUAUCCCAAUUUUUUUCUAUUUUCUCCCCAUUUUUAUCCCAAUUUUUUCCCAUUUUUUCCCAUUUUUAUCCCAAUUUUUUCUAUUUUUUCCCCAUUUUUAUCCCAAUUUUUUCCCAUUUUUUCCCAUUUUUAUCCCAAUUUUUUCCCAUUUUUUCCCCAUUUUUAUCCCAAUUUUUUCCCAUUUUUUCCCCAUUUUUUCCCCAAUUUUUUUGCAUUUUUUCCCCAUUUUUAUCCCAAUUUUUUUGCAUUUUUUUCCCAUUUUUAUCCCAAUUUUUUGCAUUUUUUCCCCAUUUUUAUCCCAAUUUUUUUUGCAUUUUUUCCCCAUUUUUAUCCCAAUUUUUAUCCCAAUUUUUCCCCAUUUUUAUCCCAGUUUUUUUCUAUUUUUUUCCCAUUUUUAUCCCAAUUUUUUUGCAUUUUUUCCCCAUUUUUAUCCCAAUUUUUCCCCAAUUUUUUCCCAUUUUCAAUCCAAUUUUCCCCAUUUUUCCCCCAAUUUUUCCCCCAUUUUAUUCCCAAUUUUCCCCCAUUUUUUCCCCAUUUUUUUCCCAUUUUUUCCCAUUUUUAUUCCAAUUUUCCCCCAAUUUUUAUCCCAUUUUUUUCCUAAUUUUUCCCCAUUUUUCCCCCGUUUUCCCCCAUUUUCAUCCCAAUUUUAAUUCAAUUUUUCCCCCAUUUUCCCCCAAUUUUUCCCCAAUUUUUCCCCAAUUUUUCCCCCAUUUUUUCCUGAUUUUCCCCCAUUUUUCCCCAAUUUUUCCCCAAUUUUCCCCAUUUUUUCCCCAAUUUUUCCCCCAUUUUUUCCCCAUUUUCAUCCCAAUUUUAAUCCAAUUUUCCCCAUAUUUUACCCAUUUUUCCCCCUUUUUCCCCCAAUUUUCCCCCCAUUUUUCCCCCAUUUUUCCCCCAUUUUCCCCCAUUUUAAUCCAAAUAUUUCCCCCAUUUUUUCCCCAAUUUCCCCCAUUUUUUCCCCAUUUUCCCCCAAUUUUUCCCCAUUUUUCCCCCAUUUUUUCCCCAUUUUCCCCCAAUUUUUCCCCCAUUUUCCCCAAUUUUUCCCCAUUUUUUCCCCAUUUUUUUCCCCAAUUUUUCCCCAAUUUUUCCCAUUUUUAUCUCAAAUUUUUCCCAAUUUUUAUUCCAAUUUUUCCCAUUUUUAUUCCAUUUUUCCCCCAAUUUUCCCCCCAUUUUUCCCCCAUUUUCAUCCCAGUUUUCCCCAUUUUUUCCCCCAUUUUUUCCCCAUUUUCAUCCCAAUUUUAA
rnacentral:lncRNA from 1 species